rnacentral:tRNA from 1 species
GCGGGUGUGGCUGAGAGGCUAGGCACCGGCCUGCAAAGCCGUUUACACGGGUUCGAGUCCCGUCACUCGCUCAA